AUGAGAGACUAAGUUAUCAGAGUUCGAAUGUUUUUUUGGUUUUUGUUUACUUUUACAUUGUGGUGAAGUAGGUUUUUUUUUUUGCUUUUCCACCUGUCUUGCCUGGGUUUUCUUUUUUUCGUAACCGGACUGAAGUUGACCCUUAGCAUUAGGCCGGAUAAAACAGAUUCCUUUCCGAGAUCCAUGUGCGGGAUGAAACAAGAUGGCGAGCCAACACUGAACUGUUUGAAGUUAUCCUAGCAUAGGACCAAGCGCCCCCUGCUGGACAGUGGACAGCACUUCUACUCGGACAUGGUAGGAACUUCUUUUUUUUUUUUUUUCUUCCUGAAAGUGUUUUAUUUUGAGUUCACAAAGCUUCAAGGCAUGCAGAUUUUCAGAACCGCGCCACAAACAUAAGGCACAUGAACCACAAAGUAGCAGUCACAUGUGAGGUCAAAAUUAUUAUGAAUACAAAUGACACACACACAAAGUGAAUAAAGAAAAUUUAAAUAAUUAAAAUGCAAAAGAUAAAUAAAAAAAUAAAAA